rnacentral:lncRNA from 1 species
UUUUCAUAAAUGAUUGAAAUUAUUUAAAAUGUAUCACUUCGAGUUCCUUCGGUAUGUGUACCAGUUCACUUCAACAAUGUUAAAGAAUUAAUUUUUGGACUAAGUUUUAGUUAAUGAAUUCAUGAGACUUGUGAGUUAAUCUUUUGGGGGGCAGGCAAUAUAGUAUACUUUUUAAAGUAGUGUUUUAUAUUGACUCAGCUCAGAUCUCAGGCUUAUGAUUUACUUAAUUACUAGCCGGAUAAUUUUAAAUCUUUUUACUUAUCUAGGAAAAUAUUCCCAUGUCAUUAAAAAUUUUUUGAGUGAUCAGUUUUUAUGAUUGUAUGAGACUCUAUUGAUUGGUAGAUUUAUUUGAAUCCCCCCAAGUAAACUUUAAAUUGUUUAAAGAUGUUUAUUAUUCCAGUAAUACCAAUCCAUAGCUGCCUGUAAUCAUAGUAUUCUAAGAGGCUGAGGCAGGAAGAUCACAAGUUUGAGCCCACCUUGGGCAAUUUAGUAAAACCCUGUCUUAAAAAUAAAUAGGGCUGGGAUAUAGCUCACUGUCAAGGCUCUGGGCUCAAGCUCCAGUACUAGGGAAAAAAAAUUCCUAAUAUACUAAGUCAUGCCCUCCAUUGACCUUUCAUUUAUGUCAACAAGUCCCAUAUUUCUCCAUUUCAUUCAUAGCCAAGUUUCCUCUUUCAUUUAUCUGUUAAACUAUUCAAGUCUGGUUCCAUCUCUACUGCUCCCUAGAUAAGUCUGUUAAGGGCACUAUUUUCAAACCAGCCACUUUAUAUCUUCAUCUUUGUUUUCUGAAUAGCUUUUAGCCUAUUCAAGCAACCCUUCCUGAAUCACCUUUGAGUAUUAUUUUGGGUUUUUCUGACACCAUAAUACUUCCUCCCUCUCAGCUACUCCUCAAUCACGUUUGCUGCUUUUCUUCUUACACUUGCACUCUAAACUUUGGGAUUUCUCACCAAUUUGUUCUAGGCCUGCUUUUUUUUGUUUUCAUUUUGAGUUUUUUUGUUGGUACUGGGGAUUGAACUUGGGUCCUUGCACUUGCGCAGCAGGCAGCAAAAGCACUGAGCUAAAUCCCUGGCCCUAGGCCUGCUUUUUAAAUUUAGUACUCACCAUAGACAUGUUUAUCUGCUCCUAAGACAAAUUGUUAUCAAUAAAUUGAUCAUGUGCAAAUAUUUGUACCUAACUCAUACUGUCUUCUUACAGUGAACCUUUAUAUCUAACUUACUUUAUGUCUCCACCUGAUAUAUUAAAACCUGAC